rnacentral:rRNA from 1 species
GUCGAGCGCAGGAAUCGACGGAACCCUUCGGGGGGAAGUCGAUGGAAUGAGCGGCGGACGGGUGAGUAACACGUAAAGAACCUGCCCUCAGGUCUGGGAUAACCACGAGAAAUCGGGGCUAAUACCGGAUGGGUCAUCGGACCGCAUGGUCCGAGGAUGAAAGGCGCUUCGGCGUCGCCUGGGGAUGGCUUUGCGGUGCAUUAGCUAGUUGGUGGGGUAAUGGCCCACCAAGGCGACGAUGCAUAGCCGACCUGAGAGGGUGAUCGGCCACACUGGGACUGAGACACGGCCCAGACUCCUACGGGAGGCAGCAGUAGGGAAUCUUCCACAAUGGACGAAAGUCUGAUGGAGCAACGCCGCGUGAACGAUGAAGGCCUUCGGGUCGUAAAGUUCUGUUGUAAGGGAAGAACAAGUGCCGCAGGCAAUGGCGGCACCUUGACGGUACCUUGCGAGAAAGCCACGGCUAACUACGUGCCAGCAGCCGCGGUAAUACGUAGGUGGCAAGCGUUGUCCGGAAUUAUUGGGCGUAAAGCGCGCGCAGGCGGCCUCUUAAGUCUGAUGUGAAAGCCCCCGGCUCAACCGGGGAGGGCCAUUGGAAACUGGGAGGCU